rnacentral:rRNA from 1 species
UUAUACAGCGAAACUGCGAAUGGCUCAUUAUAUAAGUUAUCGUUUAUUUGAUAGUACCUUACUACUUGGAUAACCGUGGUAAUUCUAGAGCUAAUACAUGCUAAAAAUCCCGACUUCGGAAGGGAUGUAUUUAUUAGAUUAAAAACCAAUGCCCUUCGGGGCUCACUGGUGAUUCAUAAUAACUUCUCGAAUCGCAUGGCCUUGCGCCGGCGAUGGUUCAUUCAAAUUUCUUCCCUAUCAACUUUCGAUGCUAGAGUAGUGUUCUAGCAUGGUUACAACGGGUAACGGAGGGUUAGGGCUCGACCCCGGAGAAGGAGCCUGAGAAACGGCUACUACAUCCAAGGAAGGCAGCAGGCGCGCAAAUUACCCAAUCCCGACACGGGGAGGUAGUGACGAUAAAUACUGAUACAGGGCUCUUUUGGGUCUUGUAAUUGGAAUGAGUACAAUUUAAAUCCCUUAACGAGGAACAAUUGGAGGGCAAGUCUGGUGCCAGCAGCCGCGGUAAUUCCAGCUCCAAUAGCGUAUAUUAAAGUUGUUGUGGUUAAAAAGCUCGUAGUAGAACCUUGGGCCUGGCUGACCGGUCCGCCUCACCGCGUGUACUGGUCCGGCCGGGCUCCCACCAUAGUCUAACCGCAUGCCCUUCACUGGGUGUGUUGGCGAAACUAUAUUUUUACUUUGAAAAAAUUAGAGUGCUCCAGGCAGGCCUAUGCUCGAAUACAUUAGCAUGGAAUAAUAGAAUAGGACGUGUGGUUCUAUUUUGUUGGUUUCUAGGACCGCCGUAAUGAUUAAUAGGGACAGUCGGGGGCAUCAGUAUUCAAUUGUCAGAGGUGAAAUUCUUGGAUUUAUUGAAGACUAACUACUGCGAAAGCAUUUGCCAAGGAUGUUUUCAUUUAUCAGGAACGAAAGUUAGGGGAUCGAAGACGAUCAG